AGGCAGCCUACUUGUUAAAAAAAUUGAUGACAUGAGAGGUGUUUAACUGCUCCUAGAUUAAAUUAUGCUUCUGCUCUUCAGACUUGCUGAGAUUUAUUAAUCUUUGAAGCUGGUCUAGUAGUCUUAAGCACAUU